GAUGAACGCUGGCGGCGUGCCUAAUACAUGCAAGUCGAGCGAACAGACGAGGAGCUUGCUCCUCUGACGUUAGCGGCGGACGGGUGAGUAACACGUGGAUAACCUACCUAUAAGACUGGGAUAACUUCGGGAAACCGGAGCUAAUACCGGAUAAUAUAUUGAACCGCAUGGUUCAAUAGUGAAAGACGGUUUUGCUGUCACUUAUAGAUGGAUCCGCGCCGCAUUAGCUAGUUGGUAAGGUAACGGCUUACCAAGGCAACGAUGCGUAGCCGACCUGAGAGGGUGAUCGGCCACACUGGGACUGAGACACGGUCCCGACUCCUUCGGGGAGCAACAGGAGGGAAUCUUCCGCAAAGGGCGGAAGCCUGACGGAGCAAAGCCGCGUGGAUGAUGAAAGUCUUCGGAUCGUAAAACUCUGUUAUUAGGGAAGAACAAAAUGUGUAAGUAACUAUGCACGUCUUGACGGUACCUAAUCAGAAAGCCACGGCUAACUACGUG
rnacentral:rRNA from 1 species